AGAAUUGCGACUGUCACAGCAGUGUAGCGUCUGUUGCCAUGGUAACAAAGCUUAAAAUCGUAGAAAUCCAUAGCAACGGUUUCACGCAGCCGUAAGUGUUCAGAUACACCAGAGCCAAAAACGGCGGAUGUCGCCGUGCACAAUUUAUUGAUGAUCCGAUUAUUGUUUGAUCGUCGACACGGCAGAAAAAAGCCUAGCGCCAAACCAAGUCAACUGCCCCUACUGGCAUGUUCCCUUCGGACAACAACAUCAGCAUAGGAUCGGAAAACAACAGUCCACUGGAAAAAACUGCGAUCUCUUCGAAGGUAUUGCCCAUGACAGAUUCCACCGUGAAGAAGUAUUUUUCUGACAUCGAACUCUAGGGAGGAGGUAUUGGAAAAUCGAAAAUAAUCACAUCUAAUGUGCAGCGGUUCUAAGCUAACAUGUGGCUGAGUGGAGAAUUUCUUAUCAAAUUUAACAACAACAAGUACUACCAAUUUUGAUCCACAAUGAUCAAUCCGCAUGUGACUGAACUGAAUGAUUUUUUCACUGUGCAGCUUCCAUUGGGAUUUCCAGUAAAAAUAGAAAUACCGCUGUUCCAUGUGUUGAACGCGGUUAUCAUAUUUGGCAACGUAUUCGAAUAAGAGACACCCGUGACCAGUGUGAGCCACAUCAAAGAAAGCGAAGAGCGUACGGCAUGCAUUAUCGUGGUUUACUGUUUCGAUGUCCCGUUUGAGUACGUACGACGCGAUGUCGAUUUCCAGCGUCAAAUCAUCUUCGAAGAUGAGAACGAAUCGAUGCAAUUUGCGAUCCAGCAAAAUUUGGCAAGUGUCCGAAAAAGCACACUUUUGAGUACUGUGAUAUCCAACUCGCUCGCUAAAAGCAUGCAGGAAAAACUUUUCAAUAUUUUCUA